GAUGAACGCUAGCUACAGGCUUAACACAUGCAAGUCGAGGGGCAGCAUGAUUGAAGCUUGCUUCAAUUGAUGGCGACCGGCGCACGGGUGAGUAACACGUAUCCAACCUUCCGUACACUCAGGGAUAGCCUUUUCGAAAGAAAGAUUAAUACCUGAUGGUAUCUUAAGCACACAUGUAAUUAAGAUUAAAGAUUUAUCGGUGUACGAUGGGGAUGCGUCUGAUUAGCUUGUUGGCGGGGUAACGGCCCACCAAGGCGACGAUCAGUAGGGGUUCUGAGAGGAAGGUCCCCCCACAUUGGAACUGAGACACGGUCCAAAACUCCCUAACGGGAGGCAGCAGUGAGGAAUAUUGGUCAAUGGACGAGAGUCUGAACCAGCCAAGUAGCGUGCAGGAUGACGGCCCUAUGGGGUUGUAAACUGCUUUUAUAAGGGAAUAAAGUGAGUCUCGUGAGGCUUUUUGCAUGUACCUUAUGAAUAAGGACCGGCUAAUUCCGUGCCA
rnacentral:rRNA from 1 species